rnacentral:rRNA from 1 species
AGGGGGAGGGGGGCUGCUCCUAGUACGAGAGGACCGGAGUGGACGCAUCACUGGUGUUCGGGUUGUCAUGCCAAUGGCACUGCCCGGUAGCUAAAUGCGGAAGAGAUAAGUGCUGAAAGCAUCUAAGCACGAAACUUGCCCCGAGAUGAGUUCUCCCUGAGACUUUAAGUCUCCUGAAGGAACGUUGAAGACGACGACGUUGAUAGGUCGGGUGUGUAAGCGCAGCGAUGCGUUGAGCUAACCGAUACUAAUGAACCGUGAGGCUUAACCUU